rnacentral:lncRNA from 1 species
AGAGCAUUUAACCCAAAAUGGGGGAUCCACACAAUACAACAUGAAAGCAUGAAAGGAGAAUACAAUUUACAACUCAUGUGUCAUGCCUAAACCAUACAAGUGGCAUGGCACUUCAAACAAUACAAACUAAUGAAUAGAAAGUAAAAGGAAUAACUUGGAUGGUGUUUGGAUCUCUCAUUCACAUGUCACCACAAAAAAACAAAUAUGGUUAGUAUGCAUUAAUAAAAUGGAAUUAAAAUGCUAAUUCAAGUGAAUGAGAUGAUAUGAUGAUAGGAUGAUGUGAUAUAUUGACCAUGAUGAACAAACAUAUACCAAAUUAAAUUGAAAUGAAAUUUUCAAUUUAGCCAUUAACCACAAACAAAAUAUAACCAAAGUCAAAGUGAGACUAAUCAUGUACAUGGAAGUUAACAUGACAAAUCAAACGAAAUUCUAAACAUAGCAUGGUUGAUCACACGAAAAUAAAUUCCGAAAAAUUAAGAAAUUAAACCUAAUCCUAAUUAACCAAAUUAAGCAUGAAUUAAGCUAAUUAUUCUAAAAUUAUGCUAAAUCCUAAACGUCAAAAAACAGGAAUUAAAAUCUAUUUCAUACAAAACACAACAUCAUGAUUAAUACCAAUAACAUAAUUAAAAUUGGAAUUGACUAAAUCAAUUAUAGGAUUUAUCAUGAUUAAG